CUGGGUCUAAACAAAGGUGCACAAGUAAAGCUGAGGAUAAACAGGGUGAGUGUAAAUGGGGCACGGAGCUUGGGCGGGAUGACUGGGAGGAGAGAUGACAGCACGGGUGGCACGCUGGAAGAGUGCCAGCCGCUCUCAACCAGGAAACUACCCUGAGCCUGACUGACGAGAAGUACUGCGCCGUGCCAACUUAAGAAGCCACAGCAGCUCACCACUGCAACAGAGAGAAGAUCUACCAUCCUGCCGGAGUUGUCAGAACUACAGAAACCCUUUGUCUACUCGUCGUGCCGAGGAGUUACAGAGUGGCGAUAUCUGCUGGUGAUAUCUGCUAUUGGGGGAGUUAGCGAUGGAGCUUAACGAGUCUUCGUAUUUUGCAGACCUGUACGUCAGAACUCAGUAGUACCAGUCCAUAC